GAAACCCUGUCUCGAAAAACCAAAAAAAAAAAAAAAAAAAGAAAGAUGGCUUAGAGGUAGCACUUUUUUUUUUUUUUUUAAGAUUUAUUUAUUUAUUUAUUACAUGUAAGUACACUGUAGCUGUCUUCAGACACUCCAGAAGAGGGCGUCAGAUCUCGUUACAGAUGGUUGUGAACCACCAUGUGGUUGCUGGGAUUUGAACUCUGGACCUUUGGAAGAGCAGUCGGGUGCUCUUACCCACUGAGCCAUCUCACCAGCCCGAGGUAGCACUUUUUGCUACUGCAGAGGACCAUGACUUAGUUCCUAGCACCCAUGUUUGACACCCGUUACUCAAGUUUCAGGGAUCCUGUGGCCUCUCUUAGUCUCUGAAGGCACCUAAAUUCAUGUGUAUAUACUUACACAUAGACACAUGGACAUUACACAGAAAUAAAAAAUUUUUAAAAAUGUAUUUAUUUAUUUAUUGUAUAUGAGUACAUUGUUACUGUCUUCAGACACACCAGAAGAGGGCAUCAAAUCUCAUUACAGAUGGUUGUGAGCCACCAUGUGGUUGCUAGGAUUUGAACUCGGGACCUCUGGAAAAAGUCAGUGCUGUUAACCACUGAGACAUCUUUCCAGCUCCAGAAAUAAAAAUCUUAAACGAUUAUCAUAGGUUUUAAACUGAGUUAUAGGAAGGCAUAUGUGGUAGAAAAUGGCUAUGUGUAACUGUGUUCUAUUUUAUAUAAGUACAAAUUUGAAACCAUAAAGUGAUGACAAAAAUGCCUUUCUUUCCUUCUUUCUGUCUUUCUUUCUUCCUUUCUUUUUUUCUAAGUCACUUAUAAAGGCUAAAAGCAUAGAUAACAUCUAGCUAUACUUAUUAACUAAUGAAUUAGGUUUUAAAAUUACUCUUCCCAUAAACAUAGCAUGUCUUAAUCUUUGCUUUCUCAUUGCAUGUCAUUGUAAACAAUACUAAUUGCAAAGUUUGCCUAUGCCACUUGUGAAACAUCAGCAUGUGUAGGUGCUAGGUUUUUCCUCCAGACAAAGUAUACUUUCAUCACCAUUUCAAGAAUCAUUUCAUUACAUAAUCAAGAAUGUAUUGGUUUUGGAUUUAAUAGUUCUGGAAAUAGAUAUCUCAGUUUAUAUAUUAUUGAUGAAUUAUAAUAUAAAAAGUAUAAUUUAUUUUACUCCCAAGAAGCUCUUCUGGUCUAUAUUUCAUUUAUCACACCAAGUGAAUCAUGCCUCUUUGGAAAGCAGGUAGGCCACUGCAAACUCUCUGCAAAUAUGAUUGAUUACUUGUACAUACUUUGCUAUGGAACUGUAGAUUGGUCUGCAUUUGUCUGAAAUUAAAGUGCUGCUUAAGAAUAUGAUGUGAGAAUACUAGCUCAUCCACUUACUGAUAUUGAGACCCUCAGAAGGUCACUUAAUUUUUUUCUUUGCUUUUUUUUUUUAGUUAAUCCUUUUAUUCUUGCCUUCUAUUUCAGAGAACAGUGGUCUUUGAUCAUCUCAGCAUGUAUGUGUUCUUUGCACUUUGGGUUAUAUUAUAUAGCAAGACUUUGUCUCAGAAAGACCAAAAAGUCACAGACCUGUAAUCUAGCACUCAGGAAGGCUGAGGCAGGAAUGUCAAGUUUAGACUAGCCUAUGCUACUUAACAAAUAUGAGGCCAGCUUGAACUAAAUAGUGAAAUUUUCUAAAAACAAAAACCAAUAACAACAACAACAAUAACAAAAUAAACAAAAAUCAAGCAAAGAAAAAAAAUCUUCAAAAAUGGUCUUCAGAAUUUGUAUUAAAUUUGAUAAUAGGUAUGAAGAAUUUGCUAGAGAACUGAACACUGAAGUGCUAGGGAAAAAUGUCACUUCUAUAGUUGCUGCCAUCAUUGGAAUCAGAGUACAUCUUUUUUAUUUAAAGGAAUUUUGUAGCUAUAAUUUACACGUGUGUGCAUGUGCGCCCUCAUGUGUGCCUGUUUGUUUUUUUUUUUUUUCUAUUUGUUUAGGUAUACAUAUGUAGAAGGUAGAGAACAAUUUUGUUGUUCUCAGCUGUUUUCCACAUCUAUUUGUCUGUUUAUUUUAAGACCUUGCCUUUCACUGGCCUGCAACUUGUAAGUAGGCUAGAGUGGCUAGCCAGCAAGACCCACCCAUCGCCACCUUCAUAGUGACACUUGCUACCAUGUCCAGCUUUGAAAAAUGUGGCCCCUAGAGAUUAAACUCAAGCUUGAAGAGCAAGUAUUUUACCUAAUGGAAUACUACCCCAGCCUAUAAUUUCCUGUUCUUAAUACUCCUUUCAGCACAGUUAGUCCUGUUUAUUAUACUUUUCAAAUAGCUAGAGCUCGACUUUGAUUGCCUCUCUAUUUAGUCCUGGCUGUCUUAGGACUUGGUAGGUAAUGUAAUUUUUAAAAGUUUUUUCUAAAAUUAAAAAAAAAAAAAGAGU
rnacentral:lncRNA from 1 species